UAGCUAGUUGGUGAGGUAACGGCUUACCAAGGCGACGAUCUGUAGCGGGUCUGAGAGGAUGAUCCGCCACACUGGAACUGAGACACGGUCCAGACUCCUACGGGAGGCAGCAGUGGGGAAUUUUGGACAAUGGGGGCAACCCUGAUCCAGCCAUGCCGCGUGAGUGAAGAAGGCCUUCGGGUUGUAAAGCUCUUUCGCCCGGGAAGAAAUCGCAUGGGCCAAUACCCUGUGUGGAUGACGGUACCGGAAUAAGAAGCACCGGCUAACUACGUGCCAGCAGCCGCGGUAAUACGUAGGGUGCGAGCGUUAAUCGGAAUUACUGGGCGUAAAGCGUGCGCAGGCGGUUUUGUAAGACAGGCGUGAAAUCCCCGGGCUCAACCUGGGAACUGCGUUUGUGACUGCAAGGCUAGAGUACGGCAGAGGGGGGUGGAAUUCCACGUGUAGCAGUGAAAUGCGUAGAGAUGUGGAGGAACACCAAUGGCGAAGGCAGCCCCCUGGGUCGAUACUGACGCUCAUGCACGAAAGCGUGGGUAGCAAACAGGAUUAGAUACCCUGGUAGUCCACGCCCUAAACUAAGUCAACUAGGUGUUGGGUGGGUAAAACCAUUUAGUACCGUAGCUAACGCGUGAAGUUGACCGCCUGGGGAGUACGGCCGCAAGGUUAAAACUCAAAGGAAUUGACGGGGACCCGCACAAGCGGUGGAUGAUGUGGAUUAAUUCGAUGCAACGCGAAAAACCUUACCUACCCUUGACAUGCCAGGAACUUGCCAGAGAUGGCUUGGUGCCCGAAAGGGAGCCUGGACACAGGUGCUGCAUGGCUGUCGUCAGCUCGUGUCGUGAGAUGUUGGGUUAAGUCCCGCAACGAGCGCAACCCUUGUCGUUAAUUGCCAUCAUUUAGUUGGGCACUUUAGCGAGACUGCCGGUGACAAACCGGAGGAAGGUGGGGAUGACGUCAAGUCCUCAUGGCCCUUAUGGGUAGGGCUUCACACGUCAUACAAUGGUCGAUACAGAGGGUCGCCAAGCCGCGAGGUGGAGCCAAUCCCAGAAAGCCGAUCGUAGUCCGGAUUGCAGGCUGCAACUCGCCUGCAUGAAGUCGGAAUCGCUAGUAAUCGUGGAUCAGCAUGUCACGGUGAAUACGUUCCCGGGUCUUGUACACACCGCCCGUCACACCAUGGGAGCGGGUUCCGCCAGAAGUAGGUAGCCUAACCGCAAGGAGGGCGCUUACCACGGCGGGGUUCGUGACUGGGGUGAAGUCGUAACAAGGUAGCCGUAGGGGAACCUGCGGCUG
rnacentral:rRNA from 1 species